rnacentral:rRNA from 1 species
GUGCCAGCCGCCGCGGUAAUACGGGGGGGGCAAGCGUUGUUCGGAAUUACUGGGCGUAAAGGGCGCGUAGGCGGCCUGAGAAGUUCUGGGUGAAAGCCCCCGGCUUAACCGGGGAAGGGCCUGGAAAACCAUUGGGCUGGAGUGCUGGAGAGGGAAGCGGAAUUCCUGGUGUAGCGGUGAAAUGCGUAGAGAUCAGGAGGAACAUCGGUGGCGAAGGCGGCUUCCUGGACAGACACUGACGCUGAGGCGCGAAAGCCAGGGGAGCAAACAGGAUUAGAAACCCUCGUAGUCC